rnacentral:tRNA from 23 species
GGCCCGUUGGUCAAGUGGUUAAGACACCGCCCUUUCACGGCGGUAACACGGGUUCGAAUCCCGUACGGGUCAC